rnacentral:lncRNA from 1 species
CAAAAAUAAGCUAUUUGGCGCCUCAAUCAAAAGCCCAUAAAGCUUAGCCAAUCAAAAGACGACGUUCCUUCGGUCUCGAGGGUCAUCCCUGCGGACCUGUGAAGAAGAAUGAUUCGGGCCAGACAUGAUAAAACUGUUCCACCAUGAGAGGGGAAGGAUGGAUGAAGCCUAGACGAGGAGACGUCUCCAUCAUCAUCAUGUGACUCCCCUGGGACCAGCAAGGCACAGGGUGGCCAGCUGGGACAAGAGCCCAACACUCCAAAUGUCUCUCCACUAGUGGCACUUAUCAGGAAGAAGAGACCCUGGUUGUCAACAUUGUACCCACCAUGGCACACCACCCAGUUGAUCUCCUUGUUAAAAUAUCUUGCAUACCGUAUGACAUUCAGGAGCCGAUAAAGGACCGAGAGAGCAGAGUUAAGUCCGGAUUCCUUGUGUAGUCCCCGUGAAGGACAGUUUAUGGCGGAUUUCUUUACUGCACAGUUUGGCACACCCCUUUUUUUUUACUGGGAGAGGAGAAGGCUUAACAGUUCAGAAACUAGUAAUAAGCGCCAUGUGAACUAUACAGGUCCUUAAAAUGAGCUCUCAGAUGCUGUUUACAAGACCGGUACCUUUUAAGAGUCUGUCUUUUCCAACGGCGGAAAGUCAAAUUGCCCUCCUCUUAAUUAUUGUCAGGGUGCAUGAUUUUUAUGAGGACCAGUCACAAUGCGAUACACCUGACAAUUUAAUUUUGACUCUUAUUAAAAGAGAGCAGUUGAUUCUGUCCAUUUAUUUAUUUAUUUAUUUUUGUUGUCAUUUAUGUAUUUGUUUGUUUAUUUGUUUAUUUAUGUUUUUGUUUAUGUAGAUACAAAUACGAGGUUGACAUUUGGGCACGCUGAAAACAUGAUUGUGGCUUUGCGGUUUAGCAGCCUCUAGCACUUCUUACUAUGAGGUGUGAGCUUUGGCAGUGUGGGUGAGCAUGGUGCUCCGUAGACCAGUAGCCAGUAGGUGGUGGUAGUAGCACUAGUAUGAAUCAGACUCCUGUAUUGGCCAAUGAUGUGUAUGUCUAGGAUCUUGGCUCAGUAACCAGGGGAAGGGAGAGGGGGAGAAACGGAUGGAGGGGCAUUUGGUGCACUGUGCUUCCUGUUAGUAGGCACUGGGGAACUCAGGCCUUUACAGAAAUGACAUGCUGCUGACACUGAGAGCUUCCCGGGAGCAGCUCAGUAUAGCUGGAUCUUAUUGUAAAAGCUUGGGUAGCAAUGUGUUUGACUUGAAGCACAAUAUACAAUCAAUGUAGAAAGCCUCCCAAUGAAACCAUAUGUUGAUGGAACCAUACCUUGUUAUUACAAGGAUUUAUAGUCAGUGCAUUACAUCCCACUCAAAUCUGGAUGUUGGGAGAAAACAUUUCAAUGUUGUGAAUGGAAAUGCAGUUAAACUUGGUGCUAGCCAGGCGCUGUUUAGUCAGGGAUGGUCAGUGUUUAGUCAGGGAUGGUCAGUGUUUAGUCAGGGAUGGUCUGUGUUUAGUCAGAAUGCACCUAUCUGUGCCUCUGUCUGUCUGUUUCUUCUCUUUCAGAUGACUGUGGAUCAACCUGACCAACUGCAAGUUCGAGAGCGAGCCAGACGGCGUUCAGACUGCUCUACAUUCGGGGCAUGUGAUGAGAAGGCAGCUGUGCUGUGCCUCCUUUCCCUUCGCAUAGGGAUUUCCCACACUCUGUGUCUCUGGGUUCAAACAACAUACUAUAAGUGUGUAAAAUGCACGCACAUGCAAACACACCCACACAGAGAGGGAGAACAUGAGCAACCAUGUACACAACCACAGAACUAAGCAGUAAGCAUUGCGACCAUAUCCGAUCCGAAAACCCACACAACUACACAAGUUCUACCCAUUACCACAACCUUUUGAUUAUGUUAUCCACAAACCCAGUACUACACUACGGCACACAAUUCAACACAACACCAAAGUAACACUUGUGAUACUCAACCAAGAACACACAUACAUUUACUGUGUCCAUACAUACACAUCAUGAACCAAACCACACAUUUCCUUCACUUCCUACCAAUGGCAAAUAAAGAUCCUUAGAUCCGUUCUCUAGUUGAGUGUCAGAUGUAGAUUAUUAUUUCCAGAAAUGAUUAAAUGCAUGUUCAGUAUCUUCAUGCCAAAAUAUUCUGAACGCCAAGAAAAUAUGAUGUUGCUAAUUUGGUAUUGUCUACAUAUGGACAGUCUGUCAAUGGUAUCAAGACCAGUAAGUUGAUACAGUACCAUAGUAUGAACACAUACUGAUAAUAUGAUGUAAAGUGCCUUCAGAAAGUAUUCACACCCCUUGACUUUUUCCACAUUUUGUUGUGUUACAAAGUGGGAUACAUUUUUUUUUUACAAUAAAAAAAUAAAACACUAAUAUACACUGCAUGAUAUAAAGUAUGUGGACACCUGCUUGUCGAACAUCUCAUUCCAAAAUCAUGGCCAUUAAUAUGGAGUUUGUCCCCCCUUUGCUGCUAUGACAGCCUCCACUCUUCUGGGAAGGCUUUCCACUAGAUGUUGGAACAUUGCUACAGGGACUUGCUUCUAUUCAGCCACAAAAGCAUUAGUGAGAUUGGGCACUGAUGUUGGGCGACUAGGCCUGGCUUGCAGUCAGUGUUCCAAUUCAUCCCAAAGGUGUUCAAUGGAGUUGAGGUCAGGGCUCUGUGCAGGCCAGUCAAGUUCUUCCACACCGAUCUCGACAAGCCAUUUCUGUAUGGACCUUGCUUUGUGUAUGGGGACAUUGUCAUGCUGAAACAGGAAAUGGCCUUUCCCAAACUGUUGCCACAAAGUUGGAAGCACAGAAUUGUCUAGAAUGUAAUUGUUUGCUGUAGCAUUAAGAUAUUCCUUCAUUGGAACUAAGGGGCCAAGCCCGAACCAUAAAAAACAGUCCCAGACUAUUAUUCCUCCUCCACCAAACUUUACAGUUGGCACUAUCCAUUCGGGCAGGUAGUGUUCUCCUGGCAUCCGCCAAACCCAGAUUAGUCCAUCGGACUGCCAGAUGGUGAAGCGUGAUUCAUCACUCCAGAGUCCAAUGGCGGCGAGCUUUACACCACUCCAGCCGACGCAUGGCAUAGAGCAUGGUGAUCUUCGGACAUUGUAACAAUAAUCGACAGCACCAUGGUGAACAAAAGGACACAUAUAUAUACAAAUACCAUCAGUGGGAAUAGGGGUCAGGUGUGCGUAAUGAAAGUUCCAGAGGGAUCCGUGACAAGUUAUGUCCUCAAACACUACAGUCCACAAAAACACUACAGUUUAACUAUAGUAAUAGUACAGUAUUUAAUUUGCAUAUACUCUGCCCAUUCCCCUCCCCCAUAUCCCAAUUUGUGCCACCCAUAAGUGAGAAACCUACAUGCCAAGUAUAGACCAUUUAUUGUGGUCCCUACUGGUUAUAGAAAAGAGCAGAAGCUCUGAACUAUCUGUUCAGACCCCAGUCCUACCAACCUACAGGUUAUAGAAAAGCCACCAUGUUCUAUGUUAAAUAUAAUAAAACAAAAACACUAUAGUAAAAUGUUAGUGUAAACUGUAAAAACAGUAGUACAUACUACAGUGUACUACAGUCUGCAAAAACACUACAGUCCUCAAAAAACAACGGUUUUCCCACUAUAGUAAUAAUACAGUAUUUAAACUAUAGUAUUUUUGAAUGUGGGCCUGACAGAAGAUCAACCACUUCCCUGGCAUGAUGGAGCUGUGCAAGAAGAACAUACUGGCUCGCAACAUUUACCGCAUGCUGAAGAGGUUCCCCAAGGUGUACAACAUCUUCCCCCGCACCUGGUGACGCUCCCAUUAGUCAAUUGGCACUAGCCUGGUUAAAUCAAACUGAAUGCUGCGCUCACCAUCAGGGCAUAAAAUUUACUUUUUGGUCCCCUAGCCACUGUGGCAGGUAGAUGAAAAAAUCUAGCCACUCAGAUUUUUUCCUCCAGACAAAAUAUUUUUUCCCCAGCUAAAAUGACACCAAAAAACACCAAAAAACAUAUGAGCAUGCUCUGUAAUGUUUCUAAAACACUCAAAUGUAUUACUAGUAAGAAGUAACUAAUGUGGUAUAUUGAAUAAUAUAUAUAUAUUUUUUAACCAAAAUAUCACAGAUGGGGGGGAAAAAAGUUAACCGGCCACUUUAAGACCGGGAAGUCACCGUGGUAGCGAGACUCAAGUCAUGUUUGUGCCUGUGUGAUUAAGGCUGCGUUUCAAACUCAUAAAAGACACACCCUCCUCCAUUUACCCUAGCUUUAUGCGCUUGGGGGAAUCCCCACGGCCAUCUUUGUCGUCAGUCCAAACAAUUAGCCAAACAAGGGAAGUUCGCUACGUAAGCCCCUCAACCCUCGUUUUUGAUCGAGUCAAUUAUGUUCACUUCGGAGCCUGAAACGCCCCAUAAUUCAAUUCGCGAUGAUUGUACAUCCGCUAAGAAAAGUCAGCCAAAACUUAAAACCUCAAUGUCAAUACGGAGAAGUUAACAUACAAGUGUAAGUAAAAACUAAGGUAAAUAACUUAGAAAUGUUGCUACUAAUGCACAUGACAGCACAAACACGUCUUGUAAAAGUAAUGAUGUUUUUGUUUGGUUAGCUUUUGGAAAUGGUAUAAAUAAAACAUUUUCCUUCAGAAGUUCCAGCUUGGCAGGCUAACGUUAAUUAAUUUGCUAGCUAUCAUACAGUAGGCGUAUAUUAAUAAUUAUAUAGUUAAUAUAAGUAGACAUGCAAUCCAUAAUUGACUGUAGCGCAUAUAAAGCACCCACAAGCUACCAGUGGCUGAAAACACAAUCGUUGCGGGAUGAACGAGUGACGAAUUUCCGGGCAAGGGCGGUCCAUUUAAAAUGAAUUCCUUCCUCCCUCACCCCUCACCCUUUGCCCUGCAAGUGUAAACUGCGGCUCAGUUGGUAGAGCAUGGUGUUUGCAAUGCCAGCAUGGUGUGUGCAACGCCAGGGCUGUGGGUUCGAUUCCCACGGGGGGCCAGUACAAAAAAAAAAAUUAUGAAAUGUACGCAUUCACUACUAAAAGUCUCUCUGGAUAAGAGUGUCUGCUAAAUGACUAAAAUGUAAAUGUAAUGAUACGUCAUCAGAAGUGUCCACUUAAUUUGAGGGCUGAGGGGAGAGGGGGUGUCUUUUAAGUGUUUGGAAUGCAGCCUAAGUCUGAUUAGUGAAAGUGGUCUUCUCUUCCCUAGCAGUUGAAACUCAAACAUAGAAAAACAACCUAGCUUGUGAACAAAACAAUGUAAAUUAGCCAAGAAACACAAGGACAAAGUCUCGCUGUUGCAGCGCGAGUAGGCUUUAUAGAAUUUCUUUGACUUUGUGAGAUUAAUUUACCAGCUAUGAAACAAAACGGUGCAAAUGCUUUCAAAACAGCUGCUGCAGCAUUUAUUUGACUAUAAAUGUGAUCAUACUUGACUAUUUUUAUUCAGAAAUCAAAUGCUUGCGCUGUGGAGCCUUGACCAACCGCCAGCGUGGCUGGUGAAAUAGACAUCUUACCCGACAAUGCCAAAAUCUACCCAUAUUUGGCAGGUGUUAAUUGUAUGCCCUGCUCACCAUUCAAUCUGGUUUAACCACGCUAGAUUGAUACACCUUUUACAUUAGAUAAUACACCAUUAUCCUUUGAUUGCAUGAUGUCUGUGAAUGAAAAUCCCAAACUCUUUCUUAGAGGACAGAGGGGAGAUGGACAUUAUUGGCCCUGUACCCUGCGGUGUACUUUGGAAUUUGAUAAUGCUUUCUAUUUGUUAUCUAAAUCAAGGUUUCCCAACCAUUUAGGGAUAUCGGGUCUAGACUUUAUUUUCCUUAUUAUUAUUGUUAUUAUUAUUAUUAUUUGUAUGAUUAUUAUUAUUAUUACCAUUAUUAUGUUUUAACAUUAACUAGCCUACCAAAAUAUGUAAUGAGUCUUGUUAAACUACAUAAAAUUGCAGGAAAUGAGCUUAAAAAACAAACAUUUUCCUAGGUCCUUCAAAUUAAAUAAAUUCAAACUGGUGUUUUAUUUAAUAUACGCUAUCUAAAUAUACCACAUUUUUAUGACAUUUUUUUUAUGUGAAAAGGGGGCCCUGGGGAAAAAUGGCUGGGACCCCUGAUUUAAAUAAUUUCUGAAAGUACAAUAGGAGCAGGAUUAACUUUUUUUAUUUUAUUGUACUGCAUUUACAAGAAGAUGUGAAGAAGAUGCAGCUGUGUUGGAAAUGGAUCUAAACAUCUGUGCUUCUUUUUUGGCAACUGAAGCCUUGUCUUUUAUAAUACUGCCUCUUGUAUUUAAACGUCUUUGUUGUGUACCUCCCACUACCGCUCCACAGUUACAGUGACUUCCAGGCCUACACCAGGGCCAAAAAGCACAAGACGUACAGUACCAGUCAAAAGUUUGGACACACCUACUCAUUCAAGGGUUUUUCAAUAUUUUUACUAUUUUCUACAUUGUAGAAUAAUAGUGAAGACAUCAAUACUAUGAAAUCACACUUAUGGAACACUUAUUUCAUACUUGUGAUGUCUUCACUAUUGUUCUACAAUGUAGAAAAUAGUAAUAAUAAAGCAAAACCCUUGAAUGAGUAGGUGUGUCCAAAAGUUUGACUGGUACUGUACAUCUGCAAGGCGGACACGGGCAGCCAGGGCCGUGACAUCUACCUCACCAAGUCCACCAAAGACUUCCCACACGGAGAGCACAUGAUCUGCCGGAUCUACAUCUUCAGGGCAUGACUGUAGUCUCAUGUACUGCAACAAAUAAUAACAUAGUGCAUAGAUCUGUGGUUUUCAACCUGUGGUCCUUAGGGCUACUGCAGGUGGUCGUGGUUUUUAAAAUAGUAUUUCUUCCUAAAAUAACAACAUUUGGGAAUAUUAAUGGUAUAAUAAGCCAUUUUAAAUAGCGUUUAACAAUGCAGAUUGUUUAUCAUUAUAAUAAUAAUAAUAAUAGGCCUUUAAACUUUUACAUUCACUGAUAAAAUGUACUCUAAAUUGUAUUUAUUUAAAAUUCUGCAUCUGCGCGAAUGGUGGUCCACAAACUUUUGACUGUGGUCCCCGGAACGGAAAACUUUGGGAACCAAUAGAUGUAUGUGGCUCCUGUUCCUAUUCUAUUCAAUGUUAUUGAAUAUAUUCCAUAAUAUCCAGUAACUGGAGUUGCCAGGGAAGGCGAAACAGGCAUUUUCUCAACCUGUCUUGUCAUAUCUCCAGAUAUUCUACUUUGUCUCAGCCUCUUGUUCCUCUCUGCCACCACAAGCAGCCAUUGGUCAUUGACGGCUUCACGUUUGACCUGCGCAGCUACGUGCUGGUGAUUUCUGCGACCCCCUUCCGUAUCUUCCUGUAUAAGGAGCAGCUGGCCCGCUUCUGCACCCGCCACUUCAACUACUCCACCCGCAACAACGUGGUGCGGCACGGCACAACCACAGGAGAGGGCAACGUGUUUUACAUUGUGUGCUUCUCAUGUUUAUUUCAAUGUCAUUGGUCUUUUAUGUUCGUACUGUGUAGUUUUGUUAGGGAUCGUAUUUAAAGUUUCAAGUUUUUUAUGCCACGUGCACAAGUACAGUGAAAUGCCUUUCUGGCAAGCUCUAAACCCAACAAUGCAGUAUUCAAUAUUAAUAUAGUGCUACAAAUAACAUAAGGUCAAACAAACACACAAGAUAUUAAAAUAAGAGCACGAGAAGUAAUUAAGCUAUAUACAGGGUCAGUUCCAAUACCAGAUUUACAAUGUGCAGGGAUACUGGAGUGAUAGAGGUAGAUAUGUAUAGGGGUAAGAUGACUAGGCCUCAGGAUACAAUAUAUGAUAAACAGUGUAGCAGCAUAUGAUGAUUGUACUGUAUGUGAGUGUGUGUAAAUGUGCCAGUCUAAAUGUGUGUGCAUGUUAUGUGUGUGUGAGCAAAUUAAGUGUGUGUGAGUGUGCAUAGAGACAGUGCAAAAAUAAAAUGAAUGUAUAGUACAAUGUAGGAUAGAAGUGGUAACAUUUGUUUUCAUCAGGAAAUUGAUAUGUUGUACAUCAUCAGUAUGUUCUAAACGUGUUCAAGGGGACAGAGACAGACAGGAACACACUCAAACACAGACACGCAGGCAGACGGACUUAGAUAAGAUAGACGUCUGUCUUUGAACUCAGUGGGUGUGUUCAAUCUUGCUCCUCUCAAACCGUAUUUGUUUACCAGUGAUAUGGCCCCAUUGAUGACUCAAGCUACUGUUUUACAAGCUCUUGUCAUAAAAGACUUAGCAUGGGCCGACAUCGAGGAUGUGGUGAUCAAGGCUCUGGUCUCAGCCCACUCAGUGCUCCACCACAGCUACCACACCUGCUUCUCGCACAACACCACCACCAGUUCUCUGCCCCCGAGCCUGCCUGCCAUCCUGCACCUGCCUGACUCUGACCUGAUCACGUACCACGUACCUCUGCCUGCCCUCUGCCUGCCCUGUGUUUCUAAUAAAUAAUCUGAGAACUGUACUAUCCGCCUCCCGUGUCUGCAUCUGGGUCAUAUCCUGAGUCUGAUAGUACAAACUGGCCAUGACUGACCCAGCAGACUCUUACCGGCUCUGCAGCGCCAUCUUCUCCCAGGGAGCCACCAUUGGAAGACACAACGAGUUACUUAAAGUACUUAUGGAAGGAUUCCAGACCUUGGCGGUACACCAGGACCGUGCCCUCAACACAUUGCUGGAACAAUUCCUCGGAUUGUCUGUGAGGCAGCCCGCCACUACAGUAAUCCCCCAGACUGUCAAUUACCCCACUACCACUGGCGUUUUUCCCCAAUCUACCCUGGCUUCCCAAGAACCCUGCAUACCUCCUCCGGAUCGCUACGCUGGAGAUCCCGGAUUCUGCCGGGCAUUUCUCUCCCAGUGUUCUCUCAUAUUUGAGCUGCAGCCCUCUUCAUUUGCAUGCUACCCUGGUGUCGGAGCAGGGAAUCCCCACACAACCCCUCUCCAUUCCCAUGGACAUCAGAGUGUCGGAUGGGCGCUCUAUUGGCAGAGUCACCCACACCACGUGUCCCAUUAACCUGAGAGUGUUGGGUAAUCACAGUGAGUUUAUGCAGUUCCUGCCGAUCGAAUCCCCUCAUGCACCUGUGGUUUUGGGGUUUUCCUGGCUCCAGACGCACAAUCACCUGAUCGACUGGGCUACUGGUUCUAUCCUGGGUUGGAGCCCGUUUUGCCAUGGGCAUUGCCAGAAGUUGGCGCUGCCUGCCCCGGGACGUCUUCCUGUGGGCUUGGGAAAAGCCCCGGACCUCUCCCCCGUUCACGCGGAGUACCAGGACCUCCAGGAGGUUUUUAGCAAGGCCCGUGCAAGUGCGCUUCCUCCGCAUUGGCCCUAUGACUGCGCCAUCGACCUUCUCCCGGGUACUACACCGCCUCGGGCGCAGCUUUAUUCCCUGUCAGGUCCGGAGACCAAGACAAUGGACCUGCCCUUUGCCUGCCCUGGCGUUUUGAUGGGUCCCCCCGCGGGACGGAUGAGCUAACAUAGGCUAAUGCGAUUAGCAUGAGGUUGUAAGUAACAAGAACAUUUCCCAGGACAUAGACAUAUCUGAUAUUGGCAGAAAGCUUAAAUUCUUGUUAAUCUAACUGCACUGUCCAAUUUACAGUAGCUAUUACAGUGAAAUAAUACUAUGCUAUUGUUUGAGGAGAGUGCAUAGUUAUAAACCAAUUAGGCACAUUUGGGCAGUCUUGACACAAACAUUUUAACCGAAAUGCAAUGGUUCAUUGGAUCAUUCUAAAACUUUGCUCAUACACUGCUGCCAUCUAGUGACCAAAAUCAAAAUUGCGCCUGGGCUGGAAAAAUAUAUUAUGGCCUUUCUCUUGCAUUUCAAAGAUGAUGGUACAAAAUAAAAAAAUUAAGAAACGUAUGUUUUUUUCUAUGUAUUAUCUUUUACGAGGACCAGCACCUGGGCGGCAUCCGCAGGAUCUUCCCCCGCCAGGGAGGGGAGGAGUACGACAAGUACCUCAAACACAGCAGCUCCCUCUUCCAGGAGACAGCUGCCACCAAGGCCAGAGAGAGGUGCACCAGGGUGACCCAGGCGCUGAAGGAGGAAGAGGAGGGGGUGGAAGAACGUCUCGGGGCUGCAGCUGAGGGCCAGCCUGCUCAGAGACCUGGGCAGACCAGGUGUACGUCACAAUGCCACCUGUUGUCAAGACUGACUUACGGCAAUAUAUAAGCAACAUGGCAGCCAAGUCAGUGCCUCUCUGAGUAAGCUGGGUAACCACAACAACAGCAGCUCUAACGGGCCCUUUGCUGAAAUGCACGUGCAAGGCCCUCCCCCUAUCACCCUGAGGCCGCCCCACCCAAGGCUGCCCCACCCUCAGGUAUGUGAAGGACCCAGCGAUUGUUUUUGGUAACAAAUGCCACCUCUCUUCAGGUUUUGGGCAAGUUGGUAAGACAAGGUGGGUGAAAUAAGAUUUUCCCACACCUUUGGGGAAACCACAGCAGCUGUCUUAGUCUUCAGCUGUGACCUAGUGUGGACGCAGCGCAAGGCUCUCACUCCAGCAGCCCACUUCCGGCUGCCGCAGCUGUCCAGCGGACACUUUGUGGUGUCGUAGGGAGUGAGGAAGAUAUACCAGGCUACAGACCAGACUGUGGUCAACCGCUGUGAUUAGGCAGAACACCAGACCAGGAAGCACCUCGUCGACAACAAGGCCAUCGACCACGAUCACUUAAGGGACCUGCUCAAAGAAGAAGCUAUGGACUUAGAUAACGGCAAGUCUGCUGACCCUUCCAUGAACCAGCCAAACCAGCCGAUCUGAGACUCGUUGAGACUAUGUUGUACAGGUCAACAUAACUACAGGCAUGCUUGUGGAUUGCAUGCUGACACUUGUUUUUACUCUGCCAAGAUGAUUUUGUCCAGAUGAGAAUGUGGAUGGAACAUUGGUUCAUCUAUCAAGCCUCAUCAAGAGACGUUACUCCUCAAUAAUAAUACCUACAUGUUUCAAGCAGACCACCAAGGAAGUGAAGGUAACCUGCCUAAAUGAUUACUGCACCGUGGCACUCACGUCGGUAGCCAUGAAGUGCUUUGAAAGGCUGGUCAUGGCUCACAUCAACAGUAUCCUCCCGGACACCCUAGACCCACUCCAAUUCACAUACUGCUCCAACAGAUCCACAGAUGACGCAAUCUUAAUCGCACUCCACACUGCCCUUUCUCACCUGGACAAAAGGAACACCUAUGUGAGAAUGCUGUUCAUUGACUACAGCUCAGCGUUCAACACCAUAGUGCCCACGAAGCUCAUCACUAAGCUAAGGACUCUGGGACUAAACAACUCCCUCUGCAACUGGAUCCUGGACAUCCUGAUGGGCCGCCCCCAGGUGGUAAGAGUAGGCAACAACAUGUCUGCCACGUCGAUCCUUAACACUGGUGCCCCUCCUGUAUUCCCUGUUCUCCCACGACUACGUGGCCAAACACGACUCCAACACCAUCAUUAAGUUUGCUGAUGACACAACAGUGGUAGGCCUGAUCACCGACAACGAUGAGACGGCCUAUAGGGAGGAGGUCAGAGAACUGGCAGUGUGGUGCCAGGACAACAACCUCUCCCUCAAUGUGAGCAAGACUAAGGAGCUGAUUGUGGACUAUAGGAAAAGGCGGCCGAACAGGCCCCCAUUAACAUCGACAGGGCUGUAGUGGAGCGGGUCGAGAGUUUCAAGUUCCUUGGUGCCCAUAUCACCAACAAACUAUCAUGGUCCAAACAUACCAAGACAGUCUUGAAGAGGGCACGACAAUACAUUUUCCCCCUCAGGAGACUGAAAAGAUUUGGCAUGAGUCCCAAGAUCCUCAAAAGGUUCUACAUCUGCACCAUCGAGAGCAUCCUGACCGAUUGCAUCACCGCCUGGUAUGGCAACUGCUUGGCAUCUGACCGUAAGGCGCUGCAGAGGGUAGUGCGAACGGCCCAGUACAUCACUGGGGCCAAGCUUCCUGCCAUCCAGGACCGAUAUAAUAGGCGUGUCAGAGGAUAGUCCAUACAAUUGUCAGAGACUCCAGUCACCCAAGUUAUCGACUGUUUUUUCUGCUACCGCACGGCAAGCGGCACCGGAGCGCCAAGUCUAGGACCAAAAGGCUCCUCAAUGUCAUCUACCCCCAAGCCAUAAAUUCAUAAAAUCGCCACCGGACAAUUUACAUUGAUUCCCCCCCACUCCCUUUUGUACACUGCUACUACUCGCUGUUUGUUUGUUACCUAUGCAUAGUCACUUCGCCCCUACCUACAUGUACAGAUUACCUCAUAGCCUGUACCCCCGCACACUGACUCUAUACCGGUGCCCCCUGUAUAUAGCCUCGUUAUUAUUAUUCUUGUUGUGUUACUUUUUAUUAUUACUUUUUUUAUUUUAGUUUACUUGGUAAAUAUUUUCUUCUUCUUUGACUGCACUGUUGGUUAAGGGCUUGUACAGUUGAAGUUGGAGGUUUACAUACACCUUAGCCAAAUACAUUUAAACUCAGUUUUUCACAAUUCUUGACAUUUUAAUCCUUGUAAAAAUUCCCUGUCUUAGGGCAGUUAGAAUCACCACUUUAUUUUAAGAAUGUGAAAUAUCAGAAUAAUAGUAGAGAGAAUGAUUUAUUUCAACUUUUAUUUCUUUCAUCACAUUCCCAGUGAGUCAGAAGUUUACAUACACUCAAUUAGUAUUUGGUAGCAAUGCCUUUACAUUGUUUAACUUGGGUCAAGCGUUUCGGGUAGCAUUCCACAAGCUUCCCACAAUAAGUUGGGUGAAUUUUGGCCCAUUCCUCCUGACAGAGCUGGUGUAACUGAGUCAGGUUUGUAGGCCUCCUUGCUCGCACACGUUUUUUCAGUUCUGCCCACAAAUUUUCUAUAGGAUUGAGGUCAAGGCUGUGUGAUGGCCACUCCAAUACCUUGAUUUUGUUGUCCUUAAGCUAUUUUACCACAACUUUGGAAGUAUGCUUGGGGUCAUUGUGCAUUUGGAAGACCCAUUUGCGAGCAAGCUUUAACUUCCUGACUGAUGUCUUGAGAUGUUGCUUCAAUAUAUCCACAUAAUUUUCCAUCCUCAUGAUGCCAUCUAUUUUGUGAAGUGCACCAGUCCCUCCUGCAGCAAAGCACCCCCACAACAUGAUGCUGCCACCUCCGUGCUUCCCGGUUGGGAUGGUGUUCUUCGGCUUACAAGCCUCCCCCCUUUUCCUCCAAACAUAACAAUGGUCAUUAUGGCCAAACAGUUCCAUUUUUGUUUCAUCAGACCAGAGGACAUUUCUCCAAAAUGUACGAUCUUUGUCCCCAUGUGCAGUGGCAAACCGUAGUCUGGCUUUUUUAUGGCGGUUUUGGAGCAGUGGAUUCUUUCUUGCUGAGCGGCCUUUCAGGUUAUGCCGAUAUAGGACUCACUUUACUGUGGAUAUAGAUACUUUUGUACCUGUUUCCUCCAGCAUCUUCACAAGGUCCUAUGCUGUUGUUCUGGCAUUGAUUUGCACUUUUCGCACCAAAGUACGUACAUCUCUAGGAGACAGAACGCAUCUCCUUCCUGAGCUGUAUGGUGGCUGCGUGGUCCCAUGGUGUUUAUACUUGCGUACUAUAGUUUGUACAGAUGAACGUGGUACCUUCAGGCGUUUGGAAAUUGCUCCUAAGGAUGAACCAGACUUGUGGAGGUCUACAAUUUUUUUUCUGAGGUCUUGGCUGAUUUCUUUUGAUUUUCCCAUUAUGUCAAGCAAAGAGGCACUGAGUUUGAAGGUAGGCCUUGAAAUACAUCCACAGGUACACCUCCAAUGGACUCAAAUGAUGUCAAUUAGCCUAUCAGAAGCUUCUAAAGCCAUGCCAUCAUUUUCUGGCAUUUUCCAAGCUGUUUAUUGGCACAGUCAACUUAAUGUAUGUAAACUUCUGACCCACUGGAAUUGUGAUACAGUGAAAUAAUCUGUUUGUAAACAAUUGUUGGAAAAAUUACUUGUGUCAUGCACAAAGUUAGAUGUCCUAACCGACUCACCAAAACUGUAGUUUGUUAACCUGUUGGGGCUAGGGGGCAGUAUUUGCACGGCUGGAUAAAAAAAUGUACCCGAUUUAAUCUGGUUACUAAUCCUACCCAGUAACUAGAAUAUGCAUAUACUUAUUAUAUAUGGAUAGAAAACACUCUAAAGUUUCUAAAACUGUUUGAAUGGUGUCUGUGAGUAUAACAGAACUCAUUUGGCAGGCAAAACCCUGAGACAUUUUCUGACAGGAAGUGGAUACCUGAUGUGUUGUAUUACCUUUAAACCUAUGCCAUUGAAAAACACAGGGGCUGAGGAAUAUUUUGGCACUUCCUAUUGCUUCCACUAGAUGUCACCAGCCUUUACAAAGUGUUUUGAGUCUUCUGGAGGGAGAUCUGACCGAACAAGAGCCAUGGAACGAUGAUGGCCCAUUAGACACC